GGGAGUGACAUAAAAGACCAGUGAAGCCAAGAGACCUUCGCCAGAACGUAGCCAAUCUCCCUUGAUGUUUUCUGUGAUCGUGUCCUGCCUCACGACCUCCUCCCGGAUCUUUGCUUGCCCUCCCCGAUCCUGGACCGCUGCUUGGAACCGGACAUCGUUGCCUCUCUCCAGCCCCCGACCGCUUGCCUCACUCUUGACUGCCUCUUUGCCUUCCCCCUUGGAUUUGACGAAAGAUACAUCCAACACGCAAAGACAACACCCUCUGGUAAAUUCCACAUUGUUAUUUCCACACAUCGUCCGCAUUCAUUCUCCAGUAGUAGCAUACACACCCCACACAUUCAUCAAAGGUUUUAAUAAACCUUCUAAAACCGCAGUUCA